UACGUAGGUGGCGAACGUUGUCCGGAUUUACUGGGCGUAAAGCGCGCGCAGGCGGACCGAUAAGUCAGAGGUGAAAUCUCCCGGCUCAACUGGGAGCGGCCCUUUGAUACUGUCGGUCUUGAGAUGCCUAGAGGAGAGUGGAAUUCCCGGUGUAGUGGUGGAAUGCGUAGAUAUCCGGAGGAACACCAGUGGCGAAGGCGGCUUCCUGGACCGACACUGACGCUGAGGCGCGAAAGCCAGGGGAGCAAACGGG
rnacentral:rRNA from 1 species